rnacentral:rRNA from 1 species
UACGUAGGGUGCGAGCGUUGUCCGGAAUUAUUGGGCGUAAAGGGCUCGUAGGCGGUUUGUCGCGUCUGCCGUGAAAGUCCGGGGCUCAACUCCGGAUCUGCGGUGGGUACGGGCAGACUAGAGUGAUGUAGGGGAGACUGGAAUUCCUGGUGUAGCGGUGAAAUGCGCAGAUAUCGGGAAGAACAUCCGUGGCGAAGGCGGCACUCUGGGACGGUACUGACGCUGAGACGCGAAAGCGUGGGGAGCGAACAGG